rnacentral:lncRNA from 1 species
CGGCAACUAGGGUCGAAAACGUGGGUGAUCGUCUGAAGCUGUGAAAAUAGCCUCCGGACCCAUUUUGGGCAAAGAAUACGUUUGCUAUAGGUCACGUGAGCCCGAAUACAAACACGCCGACAACCGGGGUCGAAAACGUGGGUGAUCUUCCGAAGCUGUGAAAAUAGCCUCUGGACCCAUUUUGCACCAAGAAUACGUGUGCUAUAGGUCACGUGAGCGUGA